rfam:Neotoma lepida isolate 417 scaffold_561, whole genome shotgun sequence.
GGAGAGGUGGCUCAGAGAUUAAGAGCACUGACUGUUCUUCCAGAGGUCCUGAGUUCAAUUCCCAGCAACGCCA